rnacentral:lncRNA from 1 species
GUCUGACUUUCCAAUGGUUUUGUGUUUCUACUCUUGGUGACAGAGUAUUUCUGAAUUUGUGAGAAGAUUUGUUUUAUUUUUAAAAGUGGGAAAUGCCAAAUGGAACUGUUCUUCGGUUGAAUUCUAUCAGAAUUCCUUGCCUGGUGGAAUUUCAUUCUUGUAGACUGCACAGGUCAAAGUUCCUAGAGUUGAAUUCUGAGGAUAUCCUGGGAUGGAAGCAUCUUAGCCUGUGAUCUUUUCCCUGGGCUCUCCACCACCAGUCUCCUCCUUCUGCAGUGGACUAGACACCCAUGAUUAUGUCCACCAUGCAUUUAUGGUAGUAGCACUCUUACUUUUUCCAAGGAAAUGCCACUCCUCAAGGCCAUUGUGAUUGGUGCAACAAUGAACACAUGACCCGAGCUGAGCCAAUCAGAAGAGUUCCUUGGGAUUUGACAACAGACACUGAAGCAGAAACACCACUUCUUUCCUUUUGGAUCACCAGCUCUAAGGCCAUGACCACAGACAUCAUGGUGACUGUGUGCUUGUCACCCAGAGAAGUCUGGGAAAAGAUAAGUGCUACAGCAGAAGCUGAAAAGAACAAGAAAGUACUGAUAACGUCAGAUUUCUGGCUUGCUUUCUGCUUUACAUUCAGUAUCUACUUUAUUAAGUCUGUGAGGAUUAAGUGAGUUAAAACAUGUGCUUAGCACAUACAUAAUGCAUGCUCAAUAAAGGCUAAAUAUUAUCAUUAUUACUAUUUAUUCUGCCAUUGAUUUAACUACAAGGAACCCAUUUUCAGGAAAGACAGUUUGAACCGGGCUUCUGUCCUUUGUACCCAAACACCCAGAGUCUCAGCAUCUCAGGAGCACUCUUUCUUAGAGGGGAAUCGCGCCUUUAGUCACACAAAUGUCAGCCAGCUUCCAAGAUGGCCCCAGUGACCCCUGUCCUCAGUAUGAGUGCCCCUGUAUAGUCUCCUCCCAUACUGACUAGAUUUGACUUGUAUCACUGCAAGAGGAUGUUGCAGAAACAUGAUCUGACUUCCACAGCUGGGUUAUAAAAGACACUGCGGCUUUUGUCUUGCUGUCUCUCAGAUCACUUGCUCUGGGGGCAGCUAGCUGCCAUGUUGUGAGGUUACUCAAGCAGCUCUGUGGAUAGGUCCCUAUGUGCAGAACCCAGGCCUCCUGCCAUAGCUAUGUAAGUACCAUUUUGGAAGCGGAUGCUCCUGCCCCAGUCCAGCCUCCGGCUAACAGCAGCCAUUCACAUCAUGACUGCCCCUUCGUGAGAAACUCUGAGCCAGAAUGACCUGGCUAAGCUGCCCUUGAAUUUCUAAUGUACAGAAACUAUGAGAUAAAAACUGUUGUUUUGUACCACUAGGAUUUGGGAUAAUCUGAUGUGUAGCAGUAGAUAAUUAAUGCAGUGUCUAAUGUGUGAC